rnacentral:rRNA from 1 species
GGAGGGUGCAAACGUUGCUCGGAAUUACUGGGCGUAAAGCGCGUGCAGGCGGUCUGACGAGUCUCGUGUGAAAGCCCUGGGCUCAACCCAGGAAGUGCACGGGAAACUGGCAGACUAGAGUGCGGGAGAUGAGGGCGGAAUUCCCGGUGUAGAGGUGAAAUUCGUAGAUAUCGGGAGGAGCACCAGUAGCGAAGGCGGCUCUCUAGACCGACACUGACGCUCAGACGCGAAAGCGUGGGGUAGCAAACAGGAUUAGAUACCCUGGUAGUCCACGCCGUAAACGAUGGAUACUAGAUGUUGGGGGUCUUGACCCCCCCCCGUUCAGCGUCGCAGCUAACGCAUUAAGUAUCCCCGCCUGGGAGUACGGUCGCAAGACUA